AUGGCCAUCAUCAGGGACAGCGGUAGCCUCGAACUAACCGAUGCAUCCAAUUCAUCCAUGGUUUAUUGGCAAAGCAUAGAGCAUCCCACAAACACCCUUCUUCCAGGGUCCAAGCUCGGGCUGAACAAAACCACGGGUCUGAGCCAGAAGCUUGUUCCUUGGAAGAACAGCGUAGACCCAUCUCCUGGGUUGUUCUCUCUGGAGCUUGACCCCAAUGGCAGCACACAGUACUUCAUUCGGUGGAAUGAAUCUGUAAACUACUGGACCAGUGGCCCCUGGGACUGGGAAGGCAAUAGAUUCAGCCUUAUGCCAGAGAUGACAGGCGAUUACAUUUACGACUUCCAAUUCGUCAACGACGCCACACAAAGCUACUUCUACUACUCGAUAAAGAAUGAUUCAUUAUUAGUCUCGCGGUUCAUCAUUGACGUGACCGGACAGAUCAAGCAGCAGGUAUGGGCGGAUAACUUACAGCAGUGGUUCUUGAUCUGGGCCGUGCCACACACACUGUGCGAUGUGUAUAUGCUCUGUGGUGCAUACGGCAGCUGCACGGACAAUGCCCUGCCGUACUGCAACUGUGUCAAGGGGUUCAGCCAGAAGGUUCAGACUGACUGGGAUCUCCAGGAUUACAGUGGUGGGUGCAAGAGGAACACACCAUUGCAGUGCCAGACCAACUCGACUUCUGCACGGGCUCCGUCUGACAAGUUCCAUAUCAUGGAAGAUGUGCGCCUACCUGAUAACGCUCAGGGUGCAGUGGCUACAGGCUCUCACGAAUGUCAGGUGGCUUGUCUGAAUAGUUGCUCUUGCACUGCUUACACUUACAAUUACACAGGGUGCUUUGUUUGGCAUGGGGACCUGAUUAAUCUCCAAGAACAGUACAGCGGGAUUGGAGGAGGCACACUCCUCCUCAGGCUUGCAGCAUCCGAGCUGCCAGAUAAGCAGAGGAAGAAAACAAAGAUCAUUGGCUCAGUUAUUGGUGGAGUUGGUGCAUUUUUUAUAAUCCUUGCAAUUGUGUUGUUCUUUCUAUCUCGGAUGUGCCGCCGAGACAGGACUUUUCGGAUAUCCAAGGCUGCUGGGGUCGCACUGACUGACUUCAGAUACAGUGAUCUGUUGGAUGAUAUUCAAAGCAUUGAUUCACUUCUUCUCGAUCUGUCAACACUAAGAGUGGCUACAAAUGACUUUGGCGACGGAACUAUGCUUGGUAAAGGAGGUUUUGGAAUGGUUCAUAAGGGAGUCCUACCUGACGGUAAACAAAUAGCAGUAAAAAGGCUAUCUCACAGUUCCAGACAAGGAAUAGGUGAACUGAAAAGUGAACUAGUCCUUGUUGCUAAGCUUCGCCACAGGAAUCUUGUGAGCCUAAUUGGCGUUUGUUUGGAAGAACAAGAGAAAAUACUUGUGUAUGAAUUUAUGCCCAACAGAAGUCUUGACACCAUUCUUUUUGACUUUGAGAAACGCAAAGACCUAGAUUGGGGGAGGAGGUUCAAGAUUAUCAGUGGAGUUGCUAGGGGAUUACAAUAUCUCCACGAAGAUUCUCAAUUGAAGUUAGUUCACCGGGACCUGAAAGCAAGCAACGUUUUGUUGGACUUUGAUUAUAACCCUAAGAUUUCUGACUUUGGCUUAGCAAAGAUAUUUGGAGGGGAUCAAUCAGAAGAUGUCACUAGACGUAUUGCGGGGACAUAUGGAUACAUGUCGCCUGAAUAUGCCAUGCAUGGUCAAUACUCAGCAAAGUCGGACGCGUUCAGCUUCGGUGUUUUGGUUUUGGAGAUCGUCACAGGAAGAAGAAACAAUGGCUCCUGCAACUCCGAGAAAUAUGUUUAUCUCGUCAAUCUUGUAUGGGAGCACUGGACCAAGGGAAAUGUCAUCGAGUUGAUCGAUCCAUCCCUUAGCGGCCAUCCCUCUCACGUUGACCAGGUGCUGAAGUGCAUCCAAAUCGGACUGCUGUGUGUGCAGAACAGACCUGAAGAUAGGCCGACAAUGUCGUCGGUGAAUGUCAUGCUUAGCAACCAGAGUGCUCGUCUCCCUUCUGUUUCCAUGCCAGCCUUCUGUGACAGAUUGAGUGGAUGCAGUGAUAAUUCAGAAUUGGCGUCUUCAAAUGGAAUGACCGUCACAAAACUAGAGCCAAGAUGA
rnacentral:rRNA from 1 species